GAUGAACGCUGGCGGCGUGCCUAAUACAUGCCAGUCGAGCGAACGGUCGAGAAGCUUGCUUCUCUGAUGUUAGCGGCGGACGGGUGAGUAACACGUGGAUAACCUACCUAUAAGACUGGGAUAACUUCGGGAAACCGGAGCUAAUACCGGAUAAUAUUUUGAACCGCAUGGUUCAAAAGUGAAAGACGGUCUUGCUGUCACUUAUAGAUGGAUCCGCGCUGCAUUAGCUAGUUGGUAAGGUAACGGCUUACCAAGGCAACGAUGCAUAGCCGACCUGAGAGGGUGAUCGGCCACACUGGAACUGAGACACGGUCCAGACUCCUACGGGAGGCAGCAGUAGGGAAUCUUCCGCAAUGGGCGAAAGCCUGACGGAGCAACGCCGCGUGAGUGAUGAAGGUCUUCGGAUCGUAAAACUCUGUUAUUAGGGAAGAACAUAUGUGUAAGUAACUGUGCACAUCUUGACGGUACCUAAUCAGAAAGCCACGGCUAACUACGUG
rnacentral:rRNA from 1 species